rnacentral:rRNA from 1 species
CACGUAGGGCGCAAGCGUUGUCCGGAAUUAUUGGGCGUAAAGAGCUCGUAGGCGGUCUGUCGCGUCGGAUGUGAAAACCCAGGGCUCAACCCUGGGCCUGCAUUCGAUACGGGCAGACUAGAGUACGGCAGGGGAGACUGGAAUUCCUGGUGUAGCGGUGAAAUGCGCAGAUAUCAGGAGGAACACCGGUGGCGAAGGCGGGUCUCUGGGCCGUAACUGACGCUGAGGAGCGAAAGCGUGGGGAGCGAACAGG